rnacentral:rRNA from 1 species
UGCGAAGGGGGCUAGCGUUGUUCGGAAUCACUGGGCGUAAAGGGCGCGUAGGCGGCCGAUCAAGUCGGGGGUGAAAGCCUGUGGCUCAACCACAGAAUUGCCUUCGAUACUGGUUGGCUUGAGACCGGAAGAGGUAAGUGGAACUGCGAGUGUAGAGGUGAAAUUCGUAGAUAUUCGCAAGAACACCAGUGGCGAAGGCGGCUCACUGGCCCGAUACUGACGCUGAGGCACGAAAGCGUGGGGAGCAAACAGG